AUUGAACGCUGGCGGCAGGCUUAACACAUGCAAGUCGAACGAGUGGCGGACGGGUGAGUAAUGCUUGGGAAUCUUGCUUAUGGAGGGGGAUAACUACGGGAAACUGUAGCUAAUACCGCGUACCAUAGGAUGAGCCCAAGGGGGAUUAGGUAGUUGGUGAGGGAAAGGCUCACCAAGCCGACGACCUCUAGCCGGUCUGAGAGGAUGACCAGCCACACGGGGACUGAGCCACGGCCCAGACCCCUACGGGAGGCAGCGGUGGGGAAUAUUGCGCAAUGGGGGCAACCUGACGAAGCCAUGCCGCGGGAAGGAAGAAGGCCUUCGGGUUGUAAAGUUCUUUCGGUAGCGAGGCGUUACCUACAGAAGAAGCACCGGCUAACUCCGUGCCAGCAGCCGCGGUAAUAC
rnacentral:rRNA from 1 species